rnacentral:lncRNA from 1 species
ACUCACUACGGAGCAAAGCUGAAUACAGUGAAAGAGCUGAAUGCUCAUGCGCAAGGACCUGACCCUUCUCCAUUAAGAAGAAGGAAAAAGUCUGAGCUGAGUUGGUCUAUUAUGUGGCUGUGUAAUUUGUCACAAGUACUGCAGUAGUACUAUGAUUCAGGCUGGUUUGAUAGACAAAAUCAAAAGACAUUUAAUGGUAGAGGCAGCAGUACUUGGAAGCUUUGCAAACAUGUGCUGAACUUGAACUAAGCAAUACUCCUUUCUGAGCAGCCAGAAGAAGGGGGUUUAAAAUAGGAUCUCUCACUGUUUAGUGUUUUGCGUUUCCCCACGCGAUUUGUCAGAGAGAAAUGAAAGCAAGCCUGAAACCAAGCAAUCG